rnacentral:rRNA from 2 species
AUUAAAUAAGCAAGAGUUUUUGGUGGAUGCCUUGG